GGUACCAGGCUCAGCUUAGGGGGUGCUACAAAGUACUGGGCUUCCGAAUGUCAUCCAUUUCGUUCGUGUCUCCGUUGAACGCAGCGAAGAGCUCCAGUCAGGUGAAUCGAGGCGUUGUUCCAUGGAAACUGUAGCAACGGACGAGAGGAAGCUCGCAGAAGGGUUCACGCGUUCAAAAGGGCUCAACGCGACGUGUCACGACCGCCGUUGACGACGUUCGUUCGUUCAGAAAGCCCAGAAACCCUUCGGGACGCUUCGUUAAUGGAGCAACGCGUGAUCAUUAAAGUGAUUGCCGUCGAAUCGCGUCGAAAUCGUGGAAACUGCGCUGCGUUUUGACACGGUGUACACGUGUCGCUACGUGGGUUCCAAUGUGGGCUGCCACCGCGAUAAUUGAACGUAAUGGCGGUAGCGAGGCGUUUAAUUUAUUUAGGAGUCCGCCGUUCAGAAAUUCGAGCGCGUUAUCGAACGAGACCUUUCGUUUUCCGCGCGAAGCGACACCGCCGUCACGCGAAAACCAGGCUCUUCAAGGAAGGUUGGACUGCUAAUGCGGAACGCGCGUCACGCUUUAGCGCGUGCAGUUUAGCAGCGUCGAACAUUAAACUGCAGCGAGCCAGUUCAUCCUGCCGGUAGUUUAUCGUUGCAGGAUUUCCUCCUUUCGUCGUUUGCCUGCCGCGGCCUAAUGGGAACAUUUACACCGAAGGACUAAACCGCUUCUGAACCCGACGUUGAAGCAUUACAAGAUUCCUACGAGCGUCAGAUUUAUGCCCGCGUACGUGCCGCGAUUCGACGCUCCAGACACGGUAGAAGCGAGAGUCGAAAAUUCCCUGUGGCACCGCUAGUUUACGUGCUCGCCGUGCCCUUGGACGCCUAUGGCGCCCAGCUCUGCAGAUAUUCGACGAAAGGACCGUUUUUAGGAAGUCAUGUUUCGGGUAAACUUAACAAUUCUACAUUUAUCAAUCGCCUGAACGGAAUUCUGCGACCUGUAAGUACUAAUUUACUAACUUUACUAACAUUUGCACUAUCAGAUUGUUAAGAACAGAGCUAAACUAUUAGAGCUUUCUUGAUACAUCUUCUAGCAUAAAGCUGAACUAUUUGUUAAGUAAAUACAGCGUUGCGUUCGCGAAUAUGAUUCUAUUCGCAACGUAAUCGGCUCUGUGGUAGCUAACGCCCACGACGUUUUAUAUUGGGGAAAUUUCAGAGCCAAGUAUGAGAGAAGUGACAGUAUCGACAAGCGACGCGUAUCGAUAUUUUAUGUACGUUGCACCAACGAUGCACACCCUCUGACAGGGAUUACCGAUUACCGAUCACCAUUCGGUUAUAUGUCACUCGGAUUAUUCUACAUCGGUAAAACCUACGCGGUAAGCCCUCGACUUGAAAAUACAAUGUACCGCGUGCUCGCUGUGCUCUAAAACGCUCGUGGUGUUCAACCCUAUACACGCGUAAAAAAUCUGCAUAAGCAAAUGAAUUGGGCCGGAACUCGGAGAAUCUGUACAUCUGUAUUU